rnacentral:rRNA from 1 species
CGGGAGGCAGCAGUAGGGAAUCUUCCACAAUGGACGCAAGUCUGAUGGAGCAACGCCGCGUGAGUGAAGAAGGUUUUCGGAUCGUAAAGCUCUGUUGUUGGUGAAGAAGGAUAGAGGUAGUAACUGGCCUUUAUUUGACGGUAAUCAACCAGAAAGUCACGGCUAACUACGUGCCAGCAGCCGCGGUAAUACGUAGGUGGCAAGCGUUGUCCGGAUUUAUUGGGCGUAAAGCGAGCGCAGGCGGAAGAAUAAGUCUGAUGUGAAAGCCCUCGGCUUAACCGAGGAACUGCAUCGGAAACUGUUUUUCUUGAGUGCAGAAGAGGAGAGUGGAACUCCAUGUGUAGCGGUGGAAUGCGUAGAUAUAUGGAAGAACACCAGUGGCGAAGGCGGCUCUCUGGUCUGCAACUGACGCUGAGGCUCGAAAGCAUGGGUAGCGAACAGGAUUAGAUACCCUGGUAGUCCAUGCCGUAAACGAUGAGUGCUAAGUGUUGGGAGGUUUCCGCCUCUCAGUGCUGCAGCUAACGCAUUAAGCACUCCGCCUGGGGAGUACGACCGCAAGGUUGAAACUCAAAGGAAUUGACGGGGGCCCGCACAAGCGGUGGAGCAUGUGGUUUAAUUCGAAGCAACGCGAAGAACCUUACCAGGUCUUGACAUCUAGUGCCAUUUGUAGAGAUACAAAGUUCCCUUCGGGGACGCUAAGACAGGUGGUGCAUGGCUGUCGUCAGCUCGUG